GCCUGGUUGGCUCAGUUGGUAGAGUGUGUGACUCCCGAUCUCAGGGUUGUGAGUUCAAGCCCUACGCUGGGCA
rnacentral:tRNA from 1 species